rnacentral:rRNA from 1 species
CACGUAGGGGGCAAGCGUUGUCCGGAUUUAUUGGGCGUAAAGAGCUCGUAGGCGGUUCGGUAAGUCGGGUGUGAAACCUCCAGGCUCAACCUGGAGAGGCCACCUGAUACUGCUGUGACUCGAGUCCGGUAGGGGAGCGUGGAAUUCCUGGUGUAGCGGUGAAAUGCGCAGAUAUCAGGAGGAACACCAGCGGCGAAGGCGGCGCUCUGGGCCGGAACUGACGCUGAGGAGCGAAAGCGUGAGUAGCAAACAGG